UCUCCCCCUCUCUCUCAGUGAGCCAACAGACUGGUAUGCUUCACUGGUGCUGUGGCCCUGGCUGCAAGCGGUGGUAGGGCUCACUCUCAUCCUCUCUUCUAACUCUCUGUUCUCUCUCCUUUUUUCAUACCUGCUUUUUAUCACCAUCGCCAUCUUUUUAUUGUUAUUCUGAAKUUUUCCGUUCACUUAAACCCCUGGGAGUAGCCUCUCGUUUUCUCCGAGUCAUUUCCCUCUCUCUUURUGUCUYUACACGGUGGUUUCUUCAUCAGCCUCACCACCCAUCCUCUCUAAUCCUUUUCUUAUAUCUGUCCGUCGGUUCGCUUCGUCUCCCUGUCAUUGACCGACACAUUGCUCACCACUCAUGCCACUUUCAUCCUGUAACCGUCUGUAAAGCCUGCAAGAUCUUGUCCGAAACCUUGUCGACAUGAGUUUAAACCUGAGUUAGUUUCUCUCUCUUUCUCUCUUUCUCUGUGUGUCGAGCAGGCUGCAACAAGGGACAAGGGCUGGUGCCUCCUCAUUACGAACCAGACCUGGAAGUUCCCCUGAGAGUGUGGACAAUGCCCUUCACUCAACAGUCAUAAAAGCCUAUGAGCGUCAGUGGAGCUGUGGCCGUUCUGCAUGACUGGAGGAAGGAGGGAGGAUGAAAAGGCGAGGAGAUUUUGGCCGGCCCCAGAAUGUUUUGGGUGCAAAGAGGAGACGCGAGUCAAAAACCACAGUGAGAGUGGCCUGAUUAAAGACUGAUCCCAGUUCAUCUCCAGGACAUCCGUACUCUAAAGCCUCUACAGACACACCCUUCACCUCACUGUUUACAUGCACUCCUUCCUGUCUCGCGCUGCCAAAUACUGAAGGACUUACUCAUAGCAUUCUGUGGUUAACCAAGGCUAUGCGUUUGCCUUCACUUUGUUAAGGGCCUUUGAGGAGACUCUGUGCCACUGUGUGUGAUCGAUGGGAGAUUUGUUUAUUUCUAUCAAAAACAUUUGUAAGUUGGAAGGACAUUGACUAAAGACAGUAAAGUCAACUAAAAAUAAUUCAAUAAACAUUUUAGAAAGCAGA